UUUUUUUCAGCAUGUGAACGCCUACCUCACCUUCCACUUCGCUGAGAUCAGGGGAAAGCAACUGUCAGUGCCUCUUGAAGGACAGAUGGAUAGAAGGACAUUCUGCUUUUGGUGGGGAAAGGCAAAGCUGACAAGGGAAAUCCAACACCUUAGUUGAAGAGACAUUGGCCAUAAGUAGGAGGACUUCUCCUUGGGAUUUUCCCUUUGGACUUCUCCUUGGGACUUCUGGCUUGGAGAGAUUCCUGCUUUGUUGGCACUGUGAGGAGACCCUCUGCUCAUUGGCACUUCAGUGGGACCCUCCCUUCAGCAUGAGUUCUUUGGAAAAACUCUUUUCUUUGGAUCCUGCAUCGUCUUGCUGGUGAGAGACUUGGACUUCCACAUGGAGAAUGAAACUUUGUCAGGGAACUAGCUGAAUUUCAUUGGAUCAGCACUUAGGGUAGACUAAGCAACUCCUUACCUCUUUUCCUCCUCCAUUUCAUAUGUCACCUCCUUCUCUUCCUCAUUAUAAACAAAAGCUAACAGUUGUUUGGGAUUUUUUCUGGUUUAGAGAUAAUAUUUUGAAUUCGGCAACCACAACAUUGAAUGUAUAACUCUUUUAUUUAGGCAAAACCCCAAUUUUACUCUUACAGGGCCUUUAAGCAGUCACUACUUGGAAUUUUGCAAAUACU
rnacentral:lncRNA from 1 species